ensembl:lncRNA
CCCAUCUUCAUGCUGGUUGGCACCCUCAUCUCCAUCAUAGCCUUCUUUUCUUGGACACUGAUCUGGACCAAGCAAAGCAGGGUCCUUCCUGGUGGCGUGUGGGUCACUCAGCCGAGACGGACGCCAGCGAGAAGGAUGCUGGGAGGGACUCUCUGAACCCUUUCCAGCAGCUCUGCGGGCCAGCAUCGCAGAGGGACGAGAACCCGGCCGAGACAUGGGCUGGACAAUGAGCCGGCGGCCGCUGGACUGAUUUCGGUCGCUGGCAGCGCAGGCCAGGCCAAGCCAGGCCAGGCCGUCGGGGCCCCGCGGCCCCCUCGGCACCGCCGCUCGCCUUGGGCGGCACUUUGCCCUCGGUCCCUGGGGCGGCUCUGGC